GGGGGUGCAAUGGUUUCGACGGGGGUUUAGACCCGUGGUAAGCGAGUAGCGGUGCGGGACCGCUCUAAAAUCCGCAACUUUAAAAAUAGACGACAAAGAUAAAGUCUUUUUGGCUGCCGCUUAAGGCUGCCCGUUCUUGCUAAGAGUACCACGGCUUAACAAGAGCGUCGAUCAGUGGUAAAUGUGAACUGAGGACCGCCUCGCCCUCAGUCACACAUCAGAGGCUACCAAACACCUAAGCCUGUUUGCGGGCGUAUGUGCAAGGGAAUACCAAUACACAAACUACACUCGUAGAAAGCCCCGGCAAAAAACCUCCGGACAGGAGUUCAAUUCUCCUCACCUCCACCA
rnacentral:tmRNA from 1 species